rnacentral:rRNA from 1 species
AGUGAACGCUGGCGGUAGGCCUAACACAUGCAAGUCGAACGGCAGCACAGUAAGCGCUUGCUCUUAAGGUUGGCGAGUGGCGGACGGGUGAGGCAUACAUCGGCAUCUACUUUUUCUUGGGGGAUAACGUAGGGAAACUUACGCUACUACCUCAUACGACCUACGGGUGAAAGCAGGAGAUCUUCGGACCUUGCGCGAUUGAAUGAGACGAGGUCGGACUAGCUAGUUGGCGGGGUAAAGGCCCACCAAGGCGACGCACCGAAGCUGCUCGGAGAGGAUGGUCGGCCACACUGGAACGGAGACAGGUCCCGAACCCCUAGGGGAGGCAGCAGUGGGAAAUAUUGGAAAAGGGGGACAAGCCUGAUGCAGCCAUACCGCGGAGGUAAAGAAGUCUUUCGAGUGGUAAAGCCUUUUUGUUGGGAAAGAAAAGUAUGAGGUUAAUUCCCCGCGUUUCGGACGUUACCAAAAGGAAAAGCACCGGCUAAUUUCGG